rnacentral:pre_miRNA from 1 species
AAUAAGUGCAGUCAUAGAUAUCCGAAUUUAUCGUUUUGACCAUCCGUCUUAUUUGAAAAUUUUAAGAAAAAUAUUUAAAAAAUUAGUCACACGUUAAGUACUAUUCAUAUUUUAUCAUCUAGUAACAAUAAAAAUACUAAUUAUAAUCUUUUUUCAAAUAAGACGAACAGUCAAACGUUGAACAUGAACAGUGCUAAAACUGCAUUUAUU